rnacentral:rRNA from 1 species
GACAGAGGGUGCAAACGUUGUUCGGAAUUACUGGGCGUAAAGCGUGUGUAGGCGGCUCCGCAAGUCGGAUGUGAAAGCCCCGGGCUCAACCCGGGAAGUGCACCCGAUACUGCGAAGCUCGAGUACCGGAGAGGUUGGUGGAAUUCUCGGUGUAGAGGUGAAAUUCGUAGAUAUCGAGAGGAACACCGGUGGCGAAGGCGGCCAACUGGACGGAUACUGACGCUGAGACACGAAAGCGUGGGGAGCAAACAGG